GGCAUUCUAGGCCUGUCUUUAGCGUUCAAGCUGGUGCAUUGGAGGGCAAGACUGGCUAUUCCCUUUGCUCCUUUCACAGAAUACUGCCCACAAAGUCUUGGGUCCAUUAUGCAAUGCAACCUGCGAGAGCUACUGAGGUUUCUCUGCCCCAUGAAGGAAGUCGAGGCCCUUUGCUGCUCCGAUGGCGAUCUUGAGCCUCGUCGACCAUGGCAACGAGACUGACAGCCCUGCGAAAUGAAGGAGAAAACUCAGAAAAAGUGAUUUGUGAGCUUUGAGUUUGAUUUUUUUAGUAGACAAUGAAGAAGCUGACUUUUGAAUAAGUGGUUCUCCAAGCUGCCUCUGGGCAAGAACUCAUAAACAAGGAGCCUCUCUUCUUCUUCACAGCAAUAACCUAUCAAUUUUACUAGAUUUGGAUGCCUCAGCUGUCCAAGAAAUACAACUUCAGCCUACCAAAAUAGAGAAAUUUUGUUAAAAUUAUUUAGUUUAAUUGCAAAUUAAGCCUCCAAAAUUUGGACUACUUGCCUAUUUUUAGUCCAUGAUUUUUUAGUAUAAUAUACUUUAUAAUAAAUGUUCAAUAUUAUCAUUUUUUCAAGAGAAAGGUUGAUAGGGGCA